rnacentral:rRNA from 1 species
AGAGUUUGAUCCUGGCUCAGAACGAACGCUGGCGGCGCGUCUUAAGCAUGCAAGUCGGGCGGGAUCCAUGCGCUUGCGCAUGGUGAGAGCGGCGGACUGGCGAGUAACACGUGGGCGACGCGCCCUCCGGACGGGAAUAGCCUGUAGAAAUACAGGGUAAUGCCGGAUGCGAACGCGCGCGCUGGAGGCGCGCGUGGAAAGCCCCCACGGGGGCGCCGGAGGAGCGGCCCGCGGCCCAUCAGCUUGUAGGCGGUGCAAGGGACCACCUAGGCUACGACGGGUACCCGGCCUCAGAGGGCGGACGGGCGCAUUGGGACUGAGAUACGGCCCAGACUCCUACGGGAGGCAGCAGCUAAGAAUAUUCCGCAAUGGGGGGAACCCUGACGGAGCGACGCCGCGUGGGCGAGGAAGGCCGGAAGGUUGUAAAGCCCUUUUGCGCGCGAGGAAUAAGGGGAGGAGGGAAUGCCUUCCCGGUGACUGUAGCGCGCGAAUAAGCGCCGGCUAAUUACGUGCCAGCAGCCGCGGUAACACGUAAGGCGCGAGCGUUGUUCGGAAUCAUUGGGCGUAAAGGGCGUGUAGGCGGCCCUGCAAGCCUGGCGUGAAAUCCCGGGGCUCAACCCCGGAACCGCGCUGGGAACUGCUGGGCUGGAGCCGCUGUGGCGCAGCCGGAAUUCCAGGUGUAGGGGUGAAAUCUGUAGAUAUCUGGAAGAACACCGAUGGCGAAGGCAGGCUGCGAGCGGACGGCUGACGCUGAGGCGCGAAGGCGCGGGGAGCGAACAGGAUUAGAUACCCUGGUAGUCCGCGCAGUAAACGAUGCACACUGGGUGUCCGGGCAUGAGCCCGGGUGCCGAAGCGAACGCGUUAAGUGUGCCGCCUGGGGAGUAUGCCCGCAAGGGUGAAACUCAAAGGAAUUGACGGGGGCCCGCACAAGCGGAGGAACAUGUGGUUUAAUUCGAUGAUACGCGAGGAACCUUACCCGGGCUUGAAUUGCAGGAGAACGAGACAGAGAUGUUGAGGCCCUUCGGGGCUCCUGUGAAGGUGCUGCAUGGUUGUCGUCAGCUCGUGCCGUGAGGUGUCGGCUUAAGUGCCAUAACGAGCGCAACCCCUCUCCAUAGUUGCCAUCAGGUAAUGCUGGGCACUCUGUGGACACUGCCACCGUAAGGUGUGAGGAAGGUGGGGAUGACGUCAAAUCAGCACGGCCCUUACGUCCGGGGCUACACACGUGUUACAAUGGCGGCCACAGAGGGAAGCUACCCCGCGAGGGGAUGCGGAUCUCGAAAAGCCGUCCCAGUUCGGACUGGAGUCUGCAACCCGACUCCACGAAGUUGGAUUCGCUAGUAAUCGCGCAUCAGCCAUGGCGCGGUGAAUACGUUCCCGGGCCUUGUACUCACCGCCCGUCA